UUCUAAGCAGAAGACAGACAAAAUUCUCUCUCUAUUUUAGAAAGAUUACUUCGUCAGCGUAGGGAAUGUCAGAGCCUGAACUAAAGCCUAUGGCAGAGGGAAGAGGAAGAUAAUUCACUGAAGAAUUUUCAGAGAAAUACAACCAACCUAUGUGGACUCUGGAAGGAGGAGAAAGUAAAAGUUAGUUUCCCUGGAACUCAACCUGGACCUGAAACCGAAGCCUGAGCUGCCAGUUCUCAGGAGCAAGUACCUAUAACCUGGAUAAGUGCUCCCAGCCAGACCAGCCUUGGGCACUGCUUCUGAACUUGGCCUCAACAAGGAGGCUGAAGGGAAGCAAUCUGAUUACAGUAACAGCAUCUGGACUCUCCGUGUGCCUGCCUCUUCCCUGGAGACACUCAUUAAAGUCCUGCUGCAGCUCCCAGAGGCUAUGAACAGAAGAUUUCCAUGUUUAUGCUAUGGGUCUCACACCUUCUGGCUGCUCCCUGAGAAGCCUGUGGUCCACGUUUUCCAUCAAGAGAAACUUUGUUUUGCCACUCUGUUGAACAUUCCUCUGAAAACAACAUCCUUCUCUGCCUUCCAUGCCCCACACCUUGCUCCCUCAACCAUUCUUAGUCCAUGUCUGUUGAAAGCCUGUGGUGCCAAGUGUUGGGAGUGGAGGAGAGGAGGAAGGAGGUGAAAAGAUGAAAUACACAGAACUCUGCCCCUGAAGAACUUCUGAUCUGGAAAGAGUGAUAAAACUUGUUCAUCCACAAGAUACUGUUUAUUCACA